GACGAACGCUGGCGGCGUGCCUAAUACAUGCAAGUUGAGCGCUGAAGGUUGGUACUUGUACCAACUGGAUGAGCAGCGAACGGGUGAGUAACGCGUGGGGAAUCUGCCUUUGAGCGGGGGACAACAUUUUGAAACGAAUGCUAAUACCGCAUAAAAACUUUAAACACAAGUUUUAAGUUUGAAAGAUGCAAUUGCAUCACUCAAAGAUGAUCCCGCGUUGUAUUAGCUAGUUGGUGAGGUAAAGGCUCACCAAGGCGAUGAUACAUAGCCGACCUGAGAGGGUGAUCGGCCACAUUGGGACUGAGACAAGGCCCAAACUCCUACGGGAGGCAGCAGUAGGGAAUCAUCGGAAAUGGACGAAAGUCUGAACGAGCAACGAUGCGUGAGUGAAGAAGGUUUUCGGAUCGUAAAACUCUGUUGGUAGAGAAGAAAGUUGGUGAGAGUGGAAAGCUCAUCAAGUGACGGUAACUAACCAGAAAGGGACGGCUAACUACGUG
rnacentral:rRNA from 1 species